GCUGGUAACAGGCAAGCCUAGAUUUCCUGGGGUCUACCACAUGGGCAGAGCCUGCCUUAAAAUGACAUCAACAAGAGGAAAGCAAACCUAAGAGGUGGUGAGAGCAAAUCCUGAUGACAUCAUUCAAAUGCCUGGAUCCAGCAGUAACUGAAGUUAGACCUAUAGCUACAGUUUGUCAGUUUCAUAUGUAUCUCUCAGAUACAUUUGACUUGGACUGCUACCACCUAUAACCAAGAAUUCCAACAAACAUCCAUCACAAAGCACUGGACUGGGGACAGAGAACUUCUAUAGAAGAGAGUCUUCUCGCACUCUCUCUGACAGUCCUGCCUUCCUCCUACAAGGACCCUUAUGAUUGUAUUGAGCUCAUCUGGACAAUCGAGAAUAAUGUCUCCAUGUCAACAUCUUAGGGGGACCAUUAUCUGCCUACCACAAAUACAAAGAAGAAGGACAGGAAAGCAUUUGUUCCUUGCUCAAGCACGAGACUCAAACCAAGAGGUCCCUGGGAAAGGGAGUAUGGUGAUGGUGUUGGAAGGCUGACAGCAUUUCCCGAGAUGAAGGGCAGAGGAAAAGAAGAUGGUACCACAGAGAUUGUCCUGGCUGUGAACUGCAAAUCCUGAGCUAUGGCUGGAGUUUUGUCCUGUCUCUGCCAGACCGUGAGCGCUGCAAGACUGGAUUUAUCUGUUUGCCCAUCAUGGAAUCUCUAGCACUUGCCAUACUGCUUCGUAUGGGGUGCUGGCUGAGCAGACACUACACGCUGGGUACUAGGCCAGCUGCUAAGUGCAGCCUCGAGAAACAAGCAAUUUAUGACCCUGAGUUUCUUGCAGGGGUGAUGAACAUGUUCCACAAUUGUGGUGGUGGGUGCGCACAAGUGUGUGAAUAUACUCCAAACCACUGAACUGUACACUUUAAGUGGAUGAGUGAAGACCUGGAACAGACCUCUCCAGACCCACUGAAGUUUGCUAGAAGGUGCCACCUAGUGGAACAUCAGAUGACCUGCCGCUUAGACCAAAAGAACCCUUAGGAGGGUUCUAGAGGCCUGAAAGCCACUGAGCCACGGCUCUCUCAAACUGGACUGCAGAUGGCAAUCGCCUGGGGAGGGCCGGGUCCUACCCCCAGAAGUUCUGACUACAUUUGUGUGGGGUCCAGGGCAGGCACACCCCCGUGAUUCUAUGCACCGCCAAGGUUGAGACCAUUGGGUCAUAGAGCAUCCAACCCUUUAUCUUGCAGAGGUGUCCACAGAUUCGAGCCACUUCUCCACAGGUCUCAGACUCCUAAGAAGCCCCUUUCUCCUGCACCCCACCACCUCUCCGUUUGUGUCUUUGAACAACUUUUUCCCUUCAUGCACAAAUGAAAAAUAAUUAAAGGGGAAACACUCUCAUUUCCCACACCCAGAUACUGAGUUGAGGGGCAGUGCCAGGAGAAGGAUGGCUCCCUAAACACCUGAUAUUUGCAUCUGACGCUCCCGACGAAUACUCUGUUUGAGAUGUGCCCAACUAAUGACGUAGUCUAUUUACUUGUUGAGAUAUAUGGCAUUCUCUGUUUGCUCUUUCAAAACGAAUCCUACUUGAAGCACCUUCAACAUCUGCUGCUUUGAUUCAGCAGCAUUUCUUUAUAGUUGGCAGGACUGGUUUAAUUGGCAUCUCCUUGUGGAAAUGACAAAGUAGACUCCGAGAGAGAGAUAGACAAUUUUCUGUCUAGAGGUCAUUUCAAAUAGGCAUCCUGCAAACCCUUUCUUUUUAUUCAAACUAGAGCUGAAAUGCCACUAAAUGCACACUCUGGGCUGAACCACCUGAGUAGUGUUCCAUGUCUGGCUCCCCUUUUCCCUCCCUACCUUGAAAGAUUGAGUCCCUGAAUUUUAG